UGACUUUAUGAUUCCGCUUACAGAAUGAGUCUAUUUUGAUUAAAAGGAGUUAAUUCGCUUUGAAAUUAAAUUAUAAAUUAAAUUAAGUUAUUUGUUUCAAACCAUGUACGAUUUUUGAUAGGUGUAUGGCUUAACUGAAAAGAGGACUUUCGUUUAUUGACAGUUUAGUAAAUUGGAAUUAGGUCGUUUAUCUAAAAGAAUACUCUGUUGUACCAAUAUUUCAUUUGAGGGAAAAGGUUUCAGUGUAUUUUGGAUAUGUAUAGCAUACAUUUUUCGAUACUUUUAGAACAGCAAAUCAAAAUCAUUGAAGUAAUAUAUAUAUGUAUAGUUAAAAGUUUAAAAAACAAGAUUUUAUUGUAUUUGUUGCCCUUAGUAUUUGAGACGAACACUUGUAGGGACGUGAGGAUGGUUGGUAAUGAAUGGGAUCGGAAAAAAUGAAACGACGUGACAAGGCAGUAACUGCCUAGGAUCGAGAGUCGUCUAUUUGGGUUCGAGGAGGGUCGGGAGGGGCUGUUAGGAGCAAAAAAAAAACAAGGGACCAGUUUGAGACAAGGGUGAAGAUCCAGCAAUGUAUACAGCGUUAAGGAGUUUAUGGUGGCGGCCAUUUUGGGUAGUCGUCGAAAACGCUUCUAAAUGACAAACAAGCACCGUCCCCGCUUCUAUUAUUGAGACCAUCCCAAUAGAAAUUUUAUGAUCCUAUAGCCUUGUUUCUCAGUGGGUGGACUCUCCAGCCAGAUGUUCGGCCGAUGGGUUCGAGUUACAAUUUACUAGAAAUACCAACAUUCCCUUGAAACUGGGAUAUCGUUGUAUUGCGUGAAAUAUUAUCAAAAGAUUUCAUUUACUGGAAACAGAAUAUCCAUCUUCUUGUCACAACAGACGCAGAAUUAUUUUGCAAGCUACCUCAUGUUUGCUUUUAAACUCUUUCCGAUGCCUGUCAGACCGAUUGGGAAAGAUUUGAUUAGUCGCAUGAAAUGUUCAUUACCAUAUUCAUGACGCGGAUGACCCAAAAUUUCUUGAACAAGUCAAACCAUAUUUAAUCAAAACAUAAAUAGUUGAGUCACCUGGGAUUCCGUAAUCUCGCAUUUCUACGUCAACAGUUCCAAGAAGGGGCAACAUUCCUGUGUAACUCAAUUAUCACGAAGCGUGAUCGACUUCUUACUCAGGCUCGCAGUAUCCAUAAAUUACCAUUUCACCAAACUUAAAAAAUUUAAGUCGACUCAUGAUACAGUUAUUCUUUGGACGAGUAAGAGUUACAAGUUACGUCGACGACCUUCUCAGUGGUCUGAGAACUCAAUCGUCCUCGUUCACUGGAGAUUUUUUCGACUGGCUAAAGAGUAUUUAAGUAGAAUGCCCAAGUUAGAGUCGGCUGAGCUUCUUCACUUAAGGAAAACAAACGUUGGCCACAAAGUGAAUAUUCCCCACGCCUCAGUGUUUCGAUUCACCAACAUCUUCAUCGAUGAAAGCAAGCGUUUCAUGCCUGGAGCAUAUCUACAAAAUUAUCGCGGUGUCCCUUUGUGGUUUUCAGUUAUUGUAGCUGUGUUGAGUUUCGGAGGAGCUGCAACGCUCACUGGAGCGAUUAUUUUCCUGAUCUUUGGUUUUCCUUUCAUCGCCAUCUAUUGGCAAAACGAACAGGGAACGACACAGUCGACGUUUAUAACAUAGUGCAAGAACCUCGAUGAAUAUAGCUACGGAAAAACGAAGAUAAACUCCGUUUUGAGAAACUAAACUGAAGAUAGCAUUAACAUACUCUUGUCAAACGUUUUCCACAUAGAACAAACCUAUAUCAUACCCUCUCAGAAAAUUCUCAGAAAAAUGCUUAUCUAAAGGCAAAAUACUGUCAAAUGCUGUACAAGAUAAACUCAACAAGCGCUUUAGUAAGAAGAAUCCCAUCCAUCAAAUGAAUUUGUAUUUGGUUUUCGCUUCCUUGCGAUUACGAAAGAUACUGACAUAAAAUGAAAACAGGCCAAGUACAGAAUCAAUUUGAUCUUAGCUUUUGUACUUGAUAGUCACCUAAGAUUUGUGCUGUUACUCAAUUUGCUACCAGUCUUUAGGAAUGUAUUUUAAGGCUGCGUCAUGUGAGUACAAUAAAAGUUCCUUUUAAGAGCC